UUACGACCACAUCACGUUGAAACAGCGGUUCCCGUACGAUCACCGAAGUUAAGCAACGUUGAGAUUGGUCGGCAUCUAGAUGAGUGACCGCUCGGGAAUAAAAGUGCCGUAA